CACAGCCUGAUGCUGAAGAGGACGACACCUUGGAGGAGGUGGACGUGGAUGAAUUUGUCUUUGAUGAGGCAGCUCUUGAGGAACACUGGACACUGACUCUACCUGAGGACCCACCUCCCAGAAAUUACUCUGUGUCAUUAAAGCCUCCUGCUCCCUAUCAGCAUCCCUCCCAGUACAUACUCCCAGCACCACGUGUGUUGAGCCCAAAGCAGGCCUGGAUGGCUGGAGAC
rnacentral:lncRNA from 1 species